rnacentral:ncRNA from 1 species
AGCACUGAGGAGCGUUGCGACAGGAUUUCCUGCCAGGCUCAGUGACUCGGCAAGUUUCAACGACGCUCACCCAAC